UGGGGAAUAUUGGGCAAUGGGCGCAAGCCUGACCCAGCAAUGCCGCGUGAAGGAAGAAGGCCCUCGGGUUGUAAACUUCUUUUAUCAGGGACGAAGGAUGUGACGGUACCUGAUGAAUAAGCUCCGGCUAACUACGUGCCAGCAGCCGCGGUAAUACGUAGGGAGCAAGCGUUAUCCGGAUUUACUGGGUGUAAAGGGCGCGUAGGCGGGAUCGCAAGUCAGAUGUGAAAUGCAGGGGCUCAACCCCUGAACUGCAUUUGAAACUGUCGUUCUUGAGUACUGGAGAGGUUGACGGAAUUCCUAGUGUAGCGGUGAAAUGCGUAGAUAUUAGGAGGAACACCAGUGGCGAAGGCGGUCAACUGGACAGCAACUGACGCUGAGGCGCGAAAGCGUGGGGAGCAAACAGGAUUAGAUACCC
rnacentral:rRNA from 1 species